GUGAAUCAUCGAAUUUUUGAACGCAAAUUGCACUCUCCUCGGAGAGUAUGCCUGUUUGAGGGUCAGACUAUAAAAAAUCGACAUCGUUGCUGUUUCGCGGUGACGUUAGUCGGAAAUUGGGACAUAUUAAAUACUUUUGGUCUUAAGCGAUUUAAAAAUUACAUUUUGGUACCAUGAACGAUUCUAAGAUUUAUUUCUUUACACGUUUAAGGUAUCGAUUAUUACUAGACGUGACCAUCAUAUAGGAUCGAGUCCAUAAGAUUUCAUUAACUGACCUAAG
rnacentral:misc_RNA from 1 species